AGAUUUAUUAUAAUUUAAAAACGGUGCAGGAAGUGGAGCUGAGAAUAUACACUUCGGAGUUUAAUCUAUUUGUGACAAUUUAUUUCCACAAAUUAAAAGGAGCAUAGGAGGAUUUUACAUUCUGUGAGGUAUGUAAAAUGGUGAAAUGAUAGUUAAUUUAUGUAUAUUAAUAAAAUUAAAAAUAUAUGUCUUAAAAUGUUAA